rnacentral:rRNA from 1 species
GAGUUUGAUCAUGGCUCAGGAUUAACGCUGGCGGCAUGCCUAAUACAUGCAAGUCGAACGGAGUAGCAAUACUUAGUGGCGAACGGGUGAGUAACACGUAUCUAAUCUACCAUUUAGUGGGGAAUAACUGUUGGAAACGACAGCUAAUACCGCAUAAUAUUGCUGGAUAAUUUCCAGUAAUGAAAGGAGCUUUCAAGCUCCGCUGAUUGAUGAGGAUGCGGCGCAUUAGCUAGUUGGUAGGGUAAUGGCCUACCAAGGCAAUGAUGCGUAGCCGAUCUGAGAGGAUGAACGGCCACAUUGGGACUGAGACACGGCCCAAACUUCUACGGAAGGCAGCAGUAGGGAAUUAUUCACAAUGGGCGAAAGCCUGAUGGAGCAAUGCCGCGUGACUGAUGAAGGUCUUCGGAUUGUAAAGGUCUGUUGUAAAGGGAAGAAAUGGUAAAACAGGGAAAUGGUUUUAUCUAUGACGGUACCUUACCAGAAAGCCACGGCUAACUAUGUGCCAGCAGCCGCGGUAAUACAUAGGUGGCAAGCGUUAUCCGGAUUUAUUGGGGCGUAAAGGGUGCGUAGACGGUUUUGCA